rnacentral:rRNA from 1 species
UACGAAGGGGGCUAGCGUUGCUCGGAAUUACUGGGCGUAAAGGGAGCGUAGGCGGACAUUUAAGUCAGGGGUGAAAUCCCAGUGCUCAACACUGGAACUGCCUUUGAAACUGCCAGGCUUGAAUCCUGGAGAGGCGAGUGGAAUUCCGAGUGUAGAGGUGAAAUUCGUAGAUAUUCGGAAGAACACCAGUGGCGAAAGGCGACUCGCUGGACAGGUAUUGACGCUGAGGUUCGAAAGCGUGGGGAGCAAACAGG